UAGACACAAAAACUUGCUAUGAAAUUCCAAACCAUCUCUGAAGAAUGGUUAUCUGUACAGGUUACCUGACUUUAAAGGAAGUUCAGCAGUAAUGAAACCACAGCCAUUAUAAUGGCUUUGGAAGGCAUACAUCCAUCUUGCAAGGUAAUAGCUUAAUAACAUAAUUCUAAUUCUAAUACUAGGCAUGCUGUGCUUUGGAUACAAAGAGCAAUGCAAUCAUACAAAUGUCAAAUGCCAAAGAGGAGCACGCGGAAGCAGUGAAAGGCUCGGAGUGAAAGUGAUGAACAAAUCCCUUAAGGGAAGGGCAGCAUGUGGUUGUGCUGGACAGUGAGCUAAGCAGGGGCUGAAGACCCAGAAGAGCUCUGCAUUCACUUCAGUGGAGCAAGACUUUUGUGUUUACACAGGAGAUGACCUGGAUGUGUGAUCGUAAAUUAACAAAGAGGUAAUACCCAUUCAGUUUUUAUCACGUUUGGCCUAACUAUAAGGGAAUCAUUUCUUUUGCUCUUAAACGUUACUGAGGCAACAUGCUUAAGUAUGAUAUAAAACAUUUUGCUCUGUUUUUAUGGGGCCAUUGGUAGAAUCUUGGAACAGAAAUAUUGGCUGCGUACUGACUGGCCGCUAAUGAGUUGGCACUUAUACAUUUGAGGGAUUUAAAGAAGAUUCAAAUAGUAAAGAUACUAAAGAGUAGUCAGGCACAGGAACGGGUUGCUCAGGGAGGUGGUGGAGUCACUGUCCCUGGGGGGUGUUUAAGGAAAGGCUGGAUGUGGUACUUAGGGACACGGUUUAGUGGAGUGAUAGUGGUGGUAAGGGGACGGUUGGACCAGAAGAUCUUGGGGGGCUUUUCCAACCUUCAUGAUUCUAGGAUUCUAUGAUUUGGGAGACACGUGGCAUAACACGUGCAGAACUAACAGGGAAGAAGAGAGUUCACAUUUAUCCGUUUUGAGAAUUUAAAGAAGAUUCAGGAGACGUGUGGCACAACACAGCUAGAACAGAGAAUAAAAGUCGAGGCAACCCCGAAUUUCCUCCCA
rnacentral:lncRNA from 1 species